GAUGAACGCUGGCGGCGUGCCUAAUACAUGCAAGUCGAGCGAACGGACGAGAAGCUUGCUUCUCUGAUGUUAGCGGCGGACGGGUGAGUAACACGUGGAUAACCUACUUAUAAGACUGGGAUAACUUCGGGAAAACGGAGCUAAUACCGGAUAAUAUUUUGAACGGCAUGGUUCAAAAGUGAAAGACGGUCUUGAUGUUACUAAUAGAUGGAUCCGCGCUGCAUUAGCUAGUUGGUAAGGUAACGGCUUACCAAGGCAACGAUGCAUAGCAGACCUGAGAGGAUGAUCGGCCACACUGGAACUGAGACACGGUCCAGACUCCUACGGGAGGCAGCAGUAGGGAAUCUUCCGCAAUGGGCGAAAGCCUGACGGAGCCACGCCGCGUGAGUGAUGAAGGUCUUCGGAUCGUAAAACUCUGUUAUUAGGAAAGAACAUAUGUGGAAUUAACUGUGCACAUCAUGACGGUACCUAAUCAGAAAGCCACGGCUAACUACGUG
rnacentral:rRNA from 1 species